rnacentral:rRNA from 1 species
CUAAAAUUAAUAAUAGAAAACUUAUCAAUUUGUUUUGUAUCUUAGUUUACUGAGGAUAAGCUCAGUAAAAAUAAUAAAAUAGUAUACACCUCAUUUAGCUAGCUAUAUGGGCUUGAAAUUAGCCAUUGUAUUAAAGUUUGUUACAAAAUAGUUUUUAUAUACAGAAAGAUUGAUAUACUUUUUUUACAGGGGUAACAUGAAAAAUCAUGAUAUCUUGAUUCACUUAUGCUAGGAUGAGUAUUGAUGUAUAGAUAUAUAAACAAAAAUAGAAAGAUAUAUAAAAUAACUUUGCUCAAAACAAAAUAAGAAUAAGGAAUUCAGCAACGCUUAGCUCCGCCUGUUUAUCAAAAACAUGGCUCUUUGUUAACCAAAUAUAAAGAGUCAGACCUGCCCAGUGAAGUUUUAACGGCCGCGGUACUCUGACCGUGCAAAGGUAGCAUAAUCAUUUGCCUUAUAAUUGAAGGCUUGUAUGAAUGGUUUGACGGGAGCAUUACUGUCUUUUUCUUACCCCGUAGAACUUGACCUUUGGGUGAAGAGGCCCAGAUACAGUUGAAAGACAAAAAGACCCUGUCGAGCUUAAAAAGGAAUCAGAAUAAUUUUAUUAUCCAAGAUUAAUUACUGACUAAUUUUUUUGGUUGGGGCGACCAAGGAACAAAAAAGCUUCCUGUAUUUUCUUAGCUAAUAAGCAUGGAUCCAGAAAGAGCUGAUUAAAAGAAGUAGUUACCGCAGGGAUAACAGCAUAAUCUCUCUUGAGAGACCUAAUCGAAAGAGGGGGUUGUGACCUCGAUGUUGGACUAGAAUAUCCCAAAGAUGCAGAAGUCU